rnacentral:tRNA from 1 species
GGGGAUAUAGCUCAGUUGGUAGAGUGUUUGCCUCACAAGCAAGACCUUGGGUUCAAUUCCCAGCCA